rnacentral:rRNA from 1 species
GACGAACCGUGCGAACGUUGUUCGGAAUCACUGGGCUUAAAGGGUGUGUAGGUGGCGCGCUAAGUCGGGUGUGAAAUUUCGGAGCUUAACUCCGAAACUGCAUUCGAUACUGGCGUGCUUGAGGACUGGAGAGGAGACUGGAAUUCAUGGUGUAGCAGUGAAAUGCGUAGAGAUCAUGAGGAAGACCAGUGGCGAAGGCGGGUCUCUGGACAGUUCCUGACACUGAGACACGAAGGCCAGGGGAGCAAACGGG